rnacentral:rRNA from 1 species
UACGGGGGGGGCAAGCGUUGUUCGGAAUUACUGGGCGUAAAGGGCGCGUAGGCGGUUCGCUAAGUUGGAUGUGAAAACUCUGGGCUCAACCCAGAGCCUGCAUCCAAAACUGGCGGGCUAGAGUUCUGGAGGGGGUAGCGGAAUUCCUGGUGUAGCGGUGAAAUGCGUAGAUAUCAGGAGGAACACCAGUGGCGAAGGCGGCUUCCUGGCCUGUUCUUGACGCUGAGACGCGAAAGCGUGGGGAGCGAACAGG